rnacentral:rRNA from 1 species
CACAAGCGGUGGAGUAUGUGGUUUAAUUCGAUGCAACGCGAAGAACCUUACCUGGUCUUGACAUCCCGGAGACCCUUAGGAAACUAGGGGGUGCUUCCAUCUGGAAGAAUCUGGAGACAGGUGCUGCAUGGCUGUCGUCAGCUCGUGUCGUGAGAUGUUGGGUUAAGUCCCGCAACGAGCGCAACCCUUGUCUUUAGUUGCCAGCAGUUCGGCUGGGCACUCUAAAGGGACUGCCGGUGUUAAACCGGAGGAAGGUGGGGAUGACGUCAAGUCCUCAUGGCCUUUAUGACCAGGGCUACACACGUACUACAAUGGCCGAUACAAAGGGCAGCGACACUGCGAGGUGAAGCCAAUCCCGUAAAAUCGGUCUCAGUCCGGAUUGGAGUCUGCAACUCGACUCCAUGAAGUUGGAAUCGCUAGUAAUCGUGGAUCAGCAUGCCACGGUGAGUACGUUCCCGGGCCUU